rnacentral:tRNA from 1 species
GGUCGGUCGCAACCUUAAGGUAAGCUUUCAAACUAUAAACAGGGUUCGAUUAUGGGCUAUUAGCUCAGGUGGUUAGAGCGCACCCCUGAUAAGGGUGAGGUCCCUGGUUCGAGUCCAGGAUGGCCCACCUGAAGACAGUGAACAGUCAACAGCGAACAGUGAACAGUUAAAAACUGGUAGCUGGAAACUGGUAACUGAAAUCUGACUUANGGGGGUUUAGCUCAGUUGGUAGAGCGCCUGCUUUGCAAGCAGGAUGUCAGCGGUUCGAGUCCGNUAACCUUCACCUACUCCACCAAAAAAAAUGCCACCAAAAAAGUCGCUGAGAAGCAACAAGCAAAAAAAGUGAGAGAAAACCUUUUGUGGCGAAACGAGUGUGGUAGAAUGAGAAAAUGUGGGUCAACUCAGCAAUAUGACGUUCGUCAGACUGC